UGGGCGGAUAGGAACCAUUUUGUGGUUAUCCACUUAGUGGGCCGAAAUGCCGCCAAGAACAAUGAUGAGAAGGUAAUAAUGUGCUCUGCGUUCUGUGGAUGUACAUCGCCCUCAUUGGACAUUU
rnacentral:snoRNA from 1 species